rnacentral:rRNA from 1 species
AACGCUAGCUACAGGCUUAACACAUGCGAGUCGAGGGGCAGCAUGGUCUUAGCUUGCUAAGGCCGAUGGCGACCGGCGCACGGGUGAGUAACACGCAUCCAACCUGCCGUCUACUCUUGGACAGCCUUCUGAAAGGAAGAUUAAUACAAGAUGGCAUCAUGAGUCCGCAUGUUCACAUGAUUAAAGGUAUUCCGGUAGACGAUGGGGAUGCGUUCCAUUAGAUAGUAGGCGGGGUAACGGCCCACCUAGUCUUCGAUGGAUAGGGGUUCUGAGAGGAAGGUCCCCCACAUUGGAACUGAGACACGGUCCAAACUCCUACGGGAGGCAGCAGUGAGGAAUAUUGGUCAAUGGGCGAGAGCCUGAACCAGCCAAGUAGCGUGAAGGAUGACUGCCCUAUGGGUUGUAAACUUCUUUUAUAAAGGAAUAAAGUCGGGUAUGGAUACCCGUUUGCAUGUACUUUAUGGAUAAGGAUCGGCUAACUCCGUGCCAGCAGCCGCGGUAAUACGGAGGAUCCGAGCGUUAUCCGGAUUUAUUGGGUUUAAAGGGAGCGUAGAUGGAUGUUUAAGUCAGUUGUGAAAGUUUGCGGCUCAACCGUAAAAUUGCAGUUGAUACUGGAUAUCUUGAGUGCAGUUGAGGCAGGCGGAAUUCGUGGUGUAGCGGUGAAAUGCUUAGAUAUCACGAAGAACUCCGAUUG